rnacentral:misc_RNA from 1 species
UCUCCGUUGGUGAACCAGCGGAGGGAUCAUUACCGAGUGCAAACUCAUAACCCUUUGUGAACCUAUAUCUGUUGCUUCGGCGGCUCGCUCUCGGGCGAGCCCGCCGGUAAUAUCAGUAUCUCUGUUUGAACCCGACGAUACUUCUGAGUGUUCUUAGCGAACAGUUAAAACUUUUAACAACGGAUCUCUUGGCUCUAGCAUCGACGAAGAACGCAGC